rnacentral:rRNA from 1 species
UACGUAGGGUGCAAGCGUUGUCCGGAAUCACUGGGCUUAAAGGGCGCGUAGGCGGGCUGCCAAGUCUGGGGUGAAAUCCUCCGGCUCAACCGGAGAACUGCCUCGGAUACUGGCGGUCUCGAGGAGGGUAGGGGCAUGCGGAACUAUGGGUGGAGCGGUGAAAUGCGUUGAUAUCCAUAGGAACUCCGGUGGCGAAGGCGGCGUGCUGGACCCUUUCUGACGCUGAGGCGCGAAAGCCAGGGGAGCAAACGGG